rnacentral:rRNA from 1 species
GAUGAACGCUGGCGGCGUGCCUAAUACAUGCAAGUCGAGCGAACAGACGAGGAGCUUGCUCCUUCGACGUUAGCGGCGGACGGGUGAGUAACACGUAGGUAACCUACCUAUAAGACUGGGAUAACUUCGGGAAACCGGAGCUAAUACCGGAUAAUAUUUCGAACCGCAUGGUUCGAUAGUGAAAGAUGGCUUUGCUAUCACUUAUAGAUGUACCUGCGCCGUAUUAGCUAGUUGGUAAGGUAACGGCUUACCAAGGCAACGAUACGUAGCCGACCUGAGAGGGUGAUCGGCCACACUGGAACUGAGACACGGUCCCGACUCCUACGGGAGGCAGCAGUAGGGAAUCUUCCGCAAUGGGCGAAAGCCUGACGGAGCAACGCCGCGUGAGUGAUGAAGGUCUUCGGAUCGUAAAACUCUGUUAUUAGGGAAGAACAAACGUGUAAGUAACUGUGCACGUCUUGACGGUACCUAAUCAGAAAGCCACGGCUAACUACGUG